CAGCCCCUGAAAGGAAUGACCCCUUCCAGUACCACUGUGUGGAUCUCUGUGUUGCUAGAGACAAGCGUUCUUUUCUUUACAGUUUGACMUGGAAAUACACAGAGUAAAACUAAACCUUUGACCUCUUGCAACAUCAAAUUCCUCUGAUUGGUGCUUCUACGCUCAAAAUCCUUCCGUGAACAAUCUCAGAUGUUUGGUUUCUGGCAUCAAGAUUAUGAUUAAUGCCAAGCAGAAGUGAGAAAUAUAGUGAAUUUUCCACCUCAGAUCCCCUCRUUGAACCAGCCAGCAUAAAUCUGGCGGGACGUAAAGGCAGAUCUGAGUUUACAGCAGGCCACAGCCGUAAUCAGACAGACAUGUCCUGAGCUGCAGCUGGCUCCAAGCAUGGAAACGUCAAACUAAGUUACUGAAACCACCGCCCGCCCACCCGCCAGCCCCUUCAGCCCCUCGCUCCCCACGCCAAAAACUGGACCCGCCUCACCAGGU